AGGAAUCGACGGAACCCUUCGGGGGGAAGUCGAUGGAAUGAGCGGCGGACGGGUGAGUAACACGUAAAGAACCUGCCCUCAGGUCUGGGAUAACCACGAGAAAUCGGGGCUAAUACCGGAUGGGUCAUCGGACCGCAUGGUCCGAGGAUGAAAGGCGCUUCGGCGUCGCCUGGGGAUGGCUUUGCGGUGCAUUAGCUAGUUGGUGGGGUAAUGGCCCACCAAGGCGACGAUGCAUAGCCGACCUGAGAGGGUGAUCGGCCACACUGGGACUGAGACACGGCCCAGACUCCUACGGGAGGCAGCAGUAGGGAAUCUUCCACAAUGGACGAAAGUCUGAUGGAGCAACGCCGCGUGAACGAUGAAGGCCUUCGGGUCGUAAAGUUCUGUUGUAAGGGAAGAACAAGUGCCGCAGGCAAUGGCGGCACCUUGACGGUACCUUGCGAGAAAGCCACGGCUAACUACGUGCCAGCAGCCGCGGUAAUACGUAGGUGGCAAGCGUUGUCCGGAAUUAUUGGGCGUAAAGCGCGCGCAGGCGGCCUCUUAAGUCUGAUGUGAAAGCCCCCGGCUCAACCGGGGAGGGCCAUUGGAAACUGGGAGGCUUGAGUAUAGGAGAGAAGAGUGGAAUUCCACGUGUAGCGGUGAAAUGCGUAGAGAUGUGGAGGAACACCAGUGGCGAAGGCGACUCUUUGGCCUAUAACUG
rnacentral:rRNA from 1 species